GGGGUAACGGCCCACCAAGGCGACGAUGCGUAGGGGUUCUGAGAGGAAGGUCCCCCACACUGGUACUGAGACACGGACCAGACUCCUACGGGAGGCAGCAGUGAGGAAUAUUGGUCAAUGGCCGCAGGGCUGAACCAGCCAAGUCGCGUGAGGGAUGACGGUCCUAUGGAUUGUAAACCUCUUUUGUCAGGGAGCAAAGGGCGCCACGUGUGGCGCUUUGCGAGUACCUGAAGAAAAAGCAUCGGCUAACUCCGUGCCAGCAGCCGCGGUAAUACGGAGGAUGCGAGCGUUAUCCGGAUUUAUUGGGUUUAAAGGGUGCGCAGGCGGAAUGUCAAGUCAGCGGUAAAAUUUCGGGGCUCAACCCCGUCGUGCCGUUGAAACUGGCGUUCUUGAGUGAGCGAGAAGUAUGCGGAAUGCGUGGUGUAGCGGUGAAAUGCAUAGAUAUCACGCAGAACUCCGAUUGCGAAGGCAGCAUACCGGCGCUCAACUGACGCUCAUGCACGAAAGCGUGGGUAUCGAACAGGAUUAGAUACCCUGGUAGUCCACGCAGU
rnacentral:rRNA from 1 species